rnacentral:rRNA from 1 species
GCUCUUUGUAAUAAACAAUUUUAUAAAAUAAAGAGUCGGACCUGCCCGGUGACUUAUAGUUAAACGGCCGCGGUACCCUGACCGUGCAAAGGUAGCAUAAUCACUUGCCUUUUAAUUGGAGGCUUGUAUGAAUGGUUUGACGAGAACUGAGCUGUCUCCUUNNAAAUAUUUAAAAAUUAACUUUUAGGUGAAGAGGCCUAAAUUUGUCUAANGGACAAGAAGACCCUAUUGAGCUUUAGUGACAUUAAUUGAAUUGUUACGUAAUAAAAUUAUUUAAUUUUGAUUGCAUUUAUUUGUAAAUUAAAUUUAUUAUUAAUCUUUAGUUGGGGCGACUGAGGAACUGAAAAAGCUUCCUUAAAUGAUUUUGUUUAUAUUGAAUAGACAUACUAGUAAUUAGGAUCCAAUAUUAUUAAUAUUGAUUAAAGGAAAAAGUUACCAUAGGGAUAACAGCGUAAUCUUUCUGGAGAGUUCUUAUCGAAAGAAGGGUUUGCGACCUCGAUGUUGGACUAAGAUAUCCUGGAGGUGUAGAAGUCUCUAAUGGUUGGUCUGUUCGACCAUUAAAAUCUU